rnacentral:rRNA from 1 species
UUAAUGAGAGUUUGAUCCUGGCUCAGGACGAACGCUGGCGGCGUGCCUAAUACAUGCAAGUAGAACGCUGAAGGAGGAGCUUGCUUCUCUGGAUGAGUUGCGAACGGGUGAGUAACGCGUAGGUAACCUGCCUGGUAGCGGGGGAUAACUAUUGGAAACGAUAGCUAAUACCGCAUAAGAGUGGAUGUUGCAUGACAUUUGCUUAAAAGGUGCACUUGCAUCACUACCAGAUGGACCUGCGUUGUAUUAGCUAGUUGGUGGGGUAACGGCUCACCAAGGCGACGAUACAUAGCCGACCUGAGAGGGUGAUCGGCCACACUGGGACUGAGACACGGCCCAGACUCCUACGGGAGGCAGCAGUAGGGAAUCUUCGGCAAUGGACGGAAGUCUGACCGAGCAACGCCGCGUGAGUGAAGAAGGUUUUCGGAUCGUAAAGCUCUGCUGUAAGAGAAGAACGAGUGUGAGAGUGGAAAGUUCACACUGUGACGGUAUCUUACCAGAAAGGGAC